AUUGAACGCUGGCGGCAGGCCUAACACAUGCAAGUCGAGCGGAUGAGAGGAGCUUGCUCCUCGAUUCAGCGGCGGACGGGUGAGUAAUGCCUAGGAAUCUGCCUAGUAGUGGGGGACAACGUUUCGAAAGGAACGCUAAUACCGCAUACGUCCUACGGGGGAAAGUGGGGGAUCUUCGGACUUCACGCUAUUAGAUGAGCCUAGGUCGGAUUAGCUAGUUGGUAGGGUAAAGGCCUACCAAGGCGACGAUCCGUAACUGGUCUGAGAGGAUGAUCAGUCACACUGGAACUGAGACACGGUCCAGACUCCUACGGGAGGCAGCAGUGGGGAAUAUUGGACAAUGGGCGAAAGCCUGAUCCAGCCAUGCCGCGUGUGUGAAGAAGGCCUUCGGGUCGUAAAGCACUUUAAGUUGGGAGGAAGGGCUCAUAGCGAAUACCUGUGAGUUUUGACGUUACCAACAGAAUAAGCACCGGCUAACUUCGUGCCAGCCGCCGCCGUAA
rnacentral:rRNA from 1 species